GACGAACGCUGGCGGCGUGCUUAACACAUGCAAGUCGAACGGAGUUUUGCUUAGCACCGGGUUCUCGCAGAAGCGAGGGCCGGGUGCUGAGCAAGACUUAGUGGCGGACGGGUGAGUAACGCGUGAGCAAUCUGCCUUUAAGAGGGGGAUAACACAGGGAAACCUGUGCUAAUACCGCAUGAAGUCAAUGAAUAGCAUUUUUUAUUGACCAAAGGAGAAAUCCGCUUAAAGAUGAGCUCGCGUCCGAUUAGCUAGUUGGUGAGGUAACGGCCCACCAAGGCGAUGAUCGGUAGCCGGACUGAGAGGUUGAACGGCCACAUUGGGACUGAGAUACGGCCCAGACUCCUACGGGAGGCAGCAGUGGGGGAUAUUGCGCAAUGGGGGAAACCCUGACGCAGCAACGCCGCGUGAAGGAAGAAGGUCUUCGGAUUGUAAACUUUUGUCUUCAGGGACGAAUAAAUGACGGUACCUGAGGAGGAAGCCACGGCUAACUACGUG
rnacentral:rRNA from 1 species